rnacentral:ncRNA from 1 species
CACGCGCGCUACACUGAAGGAAUCAGCGUGUUUAACAAUCCUGGGCCGACAGGCUUCCGAGUAACCCGCUGAACCUCCUUCGUGCUUAGGGAUCGUGGCCUUGCAAUUUUUCCACGUGAACGAGGAAUUCCCAGUAAGCGCGAGUCAUCAGCUCGCGUUGAUUACGUCCCUGCCCUUUGUACACACCGCCCGUCGCUACUACCGAUUGAACGGUCGCAUUGAGGUCUUCGGAGUGGACGCGCGUUAUUCGGCCCCCUCGGGGGCUGGGUCGUCGCGCGAUCGCGAAGAUGACCGAAAUCGGCCGUUUAGAGGAAGUAAAAGUCGUAACAAGGUUUCCGUAGGUGAAACCUGCGGAAGGAUCAUUA